GCCGGCGUAGCUCAGUGGUAGAGCAGCAUCCUUGUAAGCUGAAGGUCGGGGGUUCGAUUCCGCCCCGCCGGCACCA
rnacentral:tRNA from 4 species